ensembl:lncRNA LINC00395 long intergenic non-protein coding RNA 395
GCUUCAGCCCUGGGGUUACCCGAUCUGACAAAGCCUUUUCCAUUGUAUGUGUCAGAGAGAGAAAAGAUGGCAGGUGGACUUUUAACCCAAACUGUGGGGCCCUGGAUGAGAGAAGUCCUUCAAAUGUAAUUGCAAAGUCAGAGACCUACAGGGAAAUGGGGAUCAAAAGCUCUCAUCACUCCAGAUGCUACAAAGCCUUCCCUUCCAGAUGCUACCGAUUUUACUCCCCAGAGCACAGAAGAAAAGUUCGUCAUUGAUGACUGCUGUCAUACUGAAAUCAUGAAGCUAAAGGCUACAGAGGGCUACUAGAAGCCUGAGUUUCUGAAGACUGUGUGGAACCAUCAAAGCAGCCCUGAAUAUUUCCCUUGAGACUUUUCCAUUAUAGGAAGGGCAAAUAAAUAGAUGAUGUAUGAUG